rnacentral:rRNA from 1 species
GAUGAACGCUGGCGGCGUGCUUAACACAUGCAAGUCGAACGGAAAGGCUCCUGCUUGCAGGGGUACUCGAGUGGCGAACGGGUGAGUAACACGUGGGUGAUCUGCCCUGCACUUCGGGAUAAGCCUGGGAAACUGGGUCUAAUACCGGAUAGGACGAUGGUUUGGAUGCCAUUGUGGAAAGUUUUUCGGUGUGGGUUGAGCUCGCGGCCUAUCAGCUUGUUGGUGGGGUAAUGGCUUACCAAGGCGUCGACGGGUAGCCGGCCUGAGAGGGUGUACGGCCACAUUGGGACUGGGAUACGGCCCAGACUCCUACGGGAGGCAGCGGUGGGGAAUAUUGCACAAUGGGCGCAAGCCUGAUGCAGCGACGCCGCGUGGGGGAUGACGGCCUUCGGGUUGUAAACUCCUUUCGCUAGGGACGAAGCGUUUUGUGACGGUACCUGGAGAAGAAGCACCGGCUAACUACGU